rnacentral:lncRNA from 1 species
GGUAAUGUAGUAAUUACCCAAGGAAUGUACUUAUGGUUAUGUAUUGGGACCCAAUUAUUAAUUGGGUGUUAUUCUGGUGUUGACAGUUCGGGAAUCUGUCAGCCAGCAGCUGGGGUCGAGUCUGCGGGACUUCAGCAAGUGGGGGAUUGUGUCUUUGGGACUUCAGCAGUGUAAGGUGAGUUACCUUCCAGUAGCGGUGGGUCUACGGCCACAAUGCCGGCCCACCAGUAGGAGUUGUAUGUUAGAUGAUUGUCUUUGUGAUAUCAUCUAGGUUUGUUACUACCUGAUAGAUUAUAUGCUGGCAUGAUAUGUUAUAUGUGAUAGUAAUAGAGUUCGGUUGUUAGGACCGAAGGGUAGGUCAGACACCCCAGAUAUGUCUGACAGUAUGUGAUGAUAUGUUUAUAUGCUGGCAUGAUAUGUUAUAUGUGAUAGUGGUAGUAGGAGGGGAAUAGUCCCCAAGUUCGGUUGUUAGGACCGAAGGGUAGUUCGGACACCCCAGAUAUGUCUGAUAGUAUGUUUAUGUUAUGAUAUNNNNNNNNNNNNNNNNNNNNNNNNNNNNNNNNNNNNNNNNNNNNNNNNNNNNNNNNNNNNNNNNNNNNNNNNNNUUGACACGGGUAGGUUAGCACCCCAGAAUGGCUUGACAUGGGUAGGUCAGCGCCCCAGAAUGGCUUGACACGGGUAGGACAACACCCAAGAAUGGCCGCAUGGGUAGGUCGGCACCCUAGAAUAACCGUACGGGUAGGUCGGCACCCCAAAACGGUCGUACCAGGUAGGUCAGGCACCCCAGAAUUGCCCGGCAGUAUAUAUGUUAUGUGCUUUUGUGGUAUGUGGUAUGAUGGGGGAACUCACUAAGCUUCGUGCUUACGGUUUUCAGUUUUGGUUUCAGGUACUUCGUGUUUAAAGGAAAGGAGCCGGCUUGAUCGCAGCGCAUCACACUAUGGUUUUCCGCACAUGAGAUCUUUGGGAUUACACUCUGAUAUUGUUUUAUGAUAACACGUUUGAUUAUUUCUACUUUGGUUUUGACAUGACAUAAUAUUACAGAUGUUUUAUUACACUGUUGGUUUUAUAAUGACGUAUUUAAAAAUGAAAAUUUUGGCCUGUAUUUUUGGGAUGUUACAAGUUGGUAUCAGAGCCUUGGUUUGAGGGAUUCGGACAUACUCUCGGGUGUGUCUGAACUCAAACUAAGGGCUUGGUAUAAAAAUUUUCAAAAGUAAAACCAUUUUAUAAAAAGGAGUUGAAAAGAAUCUGAAAAGAGAAGAGAACUUUGAGAAGAACAAAGUGUGUGAUGCGUGCAAUCAGCCGAGCUCAAGUAAAUUUUCCCCAAGAUACCCAUACAUGUUAUGUUAUGAUAUGAUAUGAUAUGGCUAUGAGAACUGCAUGCAAGAUUAGCGCUAAGGAUCUAGGAGGAUGCCUUAUAUGCCUAUUGUAUGUGCUUGUAGACUUGCAUGCUAGUACUGAUCAGUCAGCGAUAGGAUGGCCUAUUUAGGUUAUGCUUGAUUGUAUGAGCCUUUGAAUUGCAUGUACAAAUUCCUGAUUAGAGGAUAAAAUGAUUUGAUUGGAAUAUGAUGGUUAGAUUUUCCUUUGUCUGAAUGCUGCUUGCUCUGUGCUUUGUGGGACUCUUAGUAAUGCGAGCUAACUAUUAAGUGAAUAUGCUAGGUCACAUGGGACAGAGGCCGGGUAAUCUCAGAGUGAGAGACUUGACCCUAUUGUGCAACUCUUGUCUGAUUCCAACCGUUCUAGGGAUGGAUCUUUUACUCGAAGGAUUAUCUGAUCUCUGUUGCAUGUGGCUAUAUUCAUGAGGUAGCUAGUUGACAUUACUGGGAAUCUUUCUGCAGCUGACGAUUGGGUGAGUUCGGGAACCUAGGGAAGCCUAGGAUAUAUUUCAGUGAGUUAGUAGUGAGGUUCAGUGAUACUUGGGUAUACCAGUUUGAGGAAGUGACUUGGAGGAUUAGGGAGGAUUGCUGAGGAAAGUAUGGAUAGGUGUGGACGGCAGUAUUGGGCCUAUACUACUGAAAGCAUAGGAUCCCUACUCGAAUCAGUGAGAGUCUUGGAGAAUAUAAGAAGCUUUAGGGAAGAGUGUAUGACCCAGUUUGGGGACAGAGGAUGUUCCAGUUGUUACAGCUUAGCCAUUGGCAAGCGAGCUAGUGCACGUGACAGGGUGUCAGACCCUGAAGGAUAUGAUUUCCAAGAGUUGCAGAUGCGGGAUCGAUUUGGGAGCGCCCUGGAAAAAGAGGUGCGUGCCAAGUGCGUAUAGUAGAGGGUCCCGGGAAGAGACCCAUAACUUCUGAUCAUCGGAUGAUAGGCCAGCAGGGCUUGAGUGAGUGCAGCGCGUACGAGAAAGUACAUGAGGGAGUUUGUCACUCCAAGGGUUUAGGCUGCUACAGGGUAGCAGGAUUGGUCAUAUCACCAGAAGGGGGUCAGUAUUCCUCCAAAUGUUGCGGGUAUGUCAUCUUCUAUGAUAUUAGGUGGAUGUUUGGAAUACGUACCACUUUGGAAUUGUGAGCGAGUUUAGAUAAGUCAGACCUCAGAUCAGUUUUUCUGCUAGUGUUUGGGUUACCAAGGAUCAUAUAUGCCAUCCUGCAUGUUGAAAGGUCCUUGAUGAACCCAAAGAGGGACGCAUCUUGCGGAGUGGGUUCCGCGCAUACCGUUAUCAGUUCGGAUCUUUGUCGGGAUCAAUGCAGGAGUAUUAUUUAGAGGAUACUUGAUCAGGGUUGGAGUGAUUGUCCUCCAAUGAAGUCAGCGUUCAGAGGUUCUAUCAUUGUUCAGGUAUGGUCGGUAAUUGUUUAUGGAUGAACUUUAGAGUUCAAGGCACUACCGUUGCUAGGACAGAACUGGUGACAGGAAGAGGGUAGUGUCAGUCGCGGGUGUUAGAUGCAUAAGUGGUUGGUCAUUGGAUGUUCAAGAGAAUUGUGUUUUCGCAUGGGCCGUGUUCGGUCAGAGUUCAGUGGUACUGCAAGAUUGGGAGAGGGAACGAGGAUUCGUCAGCUAAAGUGAAGAUUAAGUUCUUCAACUGACAGCAUGUUAGAUGGAUUGAGGUGUCAGACUGGAUCAGAUUUCAAGAGUACUCAUCGAGAUUUCCGAGGAUGUGAGAUCUCAAGGUUUAAUCAGCGAUUAAACAUCAGCAUUGGUAGGCACAUGUUUUCAUCAGUGGGAUAUUAGAAGGCGAGAAGGAUUGGGAAUCCUUCAAUUCUCAUGUGAUAUGAAGACUUAGUCGAACCUAAGUGGGGGAGAGACUUUUUAUAAAGUUCUCCAACCGUGAGUUCUGGUUGCGCAAGGUGCAAUCUCUUGACCACCUUUUCAACCAGAAGGAUAUUCUAGUUGAUUCGGCCAAGAUAGAGGCUAUGAUGCAGUGGGAGAUUCCGAGGUCUCCAUCUGAGAUUCGGAAUUCCCUGGGUAUAGCGGUUUAUUACCAGAGAUUUUUACGGGACUUCUCCGAGAUUGAGGUUCCUUUGACCCGACUGACCAAGAUGUUGGUGACCUUUUGUUGGGGGCCUAAGCAACAGGCAGCCGGGACUCUCAGACAUCGGUCGUGCGAGGCACCGAUUCUCACCUUGCCAGAGGGUGUAGAUGAUUUCGUGGUUUACUGUGACGCUUUGAUCAUGGGAAUGAGUGUGGUACUGAUACAGUGGGGUCACGUGAUAGCAGGUUUCGAGAACCAGGUUAGUGUUCGGGUUAGGAAUCGAGUUCAGUUGAGGGCUAGGUCGAGUGUAUGCUCGACCCGGGUAUGGAAAGUGUUGUAAGACUAUGGGAGUAGCCGUAGCAUUCACAAGCAGUCAAAAUAGUAUGGUAAGUGUUGUAAGACUACGGGGGUAGCCAUAGCAUUCACUAGCGGUCAGUUAGCACGUAAAGUGUUGUAAGUCUGCUGGUGUAGCCGUAGCAUUCACUAGCAGUAGAUAGUGUGGGGGGUGUUGUAAGUCUGCGGGUGUAGCCGUAGCAUUCACCAGGUUGGCAAAUAGUGCUAGAGUGUUGUAAGUCUGCGGGUGUAGCCGUAGCAUUCACUAGCAACAGAUAGUGUGAGGAGUGUUGUAAGUCUGCAGGUGUAGCCGUAGCAUUCACCAGGUUGGCAGAUAGUGAUUAGAGUGUCGUAAGUCUGCAGGUGUAGCCAUAGCAUUCACUAGCAGCUAGAUAGUGAUAGGGUGUUGUAAGUCUACGGGUGUAGCCAUAGCAUUCACUAGGUUGGUAGAUGGCACGAGCGUGUUGUUAGAACGCGGAAGGAAUAGUAGUACCCACCAGUUCGGGUGCAGCAGUGAGGAUAUGGAAAUCCAGAUAUUGGAUUUCGGUAUUACCCAGAUGGAUUAGAUAUGGAUGAGCCAGUGAUAAGACUGUACAAACGUCACUACAGUUAUAAGAUCAGAGAAGCAAUGGACUGCUUCAGGAUGUGUGAGAUAAGGCUACCAUUGGUCAGGUAGUAAUCACUUUUAGUCUUGGAUUUGAUGAUGACAGGAUUCGACGCAUGGACCCGAUCGGUUAGAUCAGAAAGUAGUGGAGUCACACUAGCAUGAUAACUAGUGGCAACUAGUUCCAGAGAAGGAUUUCAUUCAAAAGUAGUGUGAGGCGACUAAGUAGGGAGUCCUUGGCUCCGCAGCCGGGGGGAAACCUAGUAUUUUAGAGGAUUGGCAAGUGAAUUGAGACCAAGGAGGUCUCGGUAACUUUUAGUAAGCAGCUAUGUAGCAGCGUAUACUGCCUCAGGCAGUUCAGUGUUCAAGCAGUUUCAGCAUUGGGCAGUGUUAGUAUUUGUGUUUCGGGUUGCGAGUAUGGACGGACUAGUUAGAUGAUUUGGGGAGUGACAGGUCACUCCCAGAGAGAGUAUCUGAGCCUUGGAAAAGGAUUAGUGGCCCACAAGGAUAAGCGGGUCUGUGACCCUGUGUUAUAGUGGAACCUUGAACUAUCAGAAGUUGGGUGAACAGUUGAGGGAUAAACAUAUUGGAUUCAACGAUAAUGAUUCAAUAAGAAUGGUCUUUUAGGGAUUCAGAUCAUCUCGAGACAGCAGAUUUCAGACGGAGUAGAUGUGAUCCUGUUGCAAGGAAUUCGUUCAUAUGAGGAUAUGAGGGUUUUGCAAAGAUUGGUCACAACUACCCUGGGAAGGCUAGGGGUGCCUAGAAUGGUGACCAUGAUACUAGAGUGGUUGGGUGUGUAAGGAAGGAUAAGGAAUGAUUUCGAGGACGAAAUCUAAUUUAAGUGGGGAGAGUUGUAACACCCGUUUAUUUAUUAGUUAAAUAAAUAAAUUAAUGAACGAAUGGUAGCCUAAAAUAAAUAAUUAUAUAUGUAGGGUGUUGGGUUCGAGGAGUUAAUUGCCACACUUUUAGAAGUCGGGGGUUAAAAGCGUGAGUUUGGGACUCAUUUUAUAAAUAUUUAUAAAGACAAGGGCUCCAUAGUAAUUAAUUGAAUUUAAUUUAAAAGGAAAUGAGGUGGAGGGGCUGAUUAUGUCAUAAUUGAGAUAUCGGAGGCUGUUUGAUAAUUUAUGGGACAUAAAUUGUAAGGGAUCUCCAUGGUUUCGGUUAAAAGUGUAAAAUAUGGACUAAGUUUGAAAAUAAAUCUGGAAGUGAGGGGAUGUUUGUGUUACUAUGGAGUGUAGUUUAUGUGAACCGGGUAUUUAACCUCCAGGUUCUGUUCAACCCUAACCCUAGUGUCAUUCCUUCAGCUGUUAUGUGAGACUUCCCAUCUGCCACCCAUUUCUUCAUCCGUUUUCCGAUCAUACAAAUCCGGUGCCGCCACCUUUAUUCCUCCUUAGAGUUCCUUCCUCCGUAAGACCAUAGCAAACCAUCGGGACCGGUCGAAUGAAGCUGCAGUGGUUAGAGUUUGGAGAAACUGCCGUCGUUGUGAACCGCAAACCACCAGAAGCGCCGCUGCUUUGCCACCGAUAGACGUUGCUGCUGCCCGUCAUUUGUCGUCGGGUGUACAGCUAGCCGCCACCGCCGCCCGACUCCCUCUCGUUCUCCUAUAUGUUGAAGCCCCGAGCGACUGCCGACGACGAAGUAGAAGAACACGAUCUGUCGUUGCUGUCAUUUGCCUGAUGGGUUCGCGACCUCCCUCCUCUUCCCCAUUUAUUAUGUGGUGCGUGUUUCAGGAUGCGUAUGCGUCUGUAUGACAGCAGUCAUCAUGUGUUGUUCGUUGGAGAGAAAGGGAGCCACCAUGGUCGCCAAUCAUGGUGGCUGUCGACGUUCAAGCUUCUGCUACCGCCGUCGUGCGCCACCUAGGGGUGGCUGAGUUCGUUUUACAACAGAAAGUGUAGGUGUGUGUGUAUGUGCUUUGCAGUUAUGUGGUUUUGGGUGUCGUUUAGCCGGGAUUUUUGAAGAUCAGCCACUGCCACCACCGUGANCCACCACCACCGUGAAGUGGUGGCUGCCGCCAAGCGCCACCGCAGGCCGCCAUGGUGUGGUUGUGUGUGUGUGUGUGUGUGUGUGUAUUAGUUAGUGUGUGGGUGUGUUAGUGAGUGUGUGUAUUUUGGAUUAAAGCCCUGUAAUUGUAAUUAGCAAAUUGAAAAAUAAAAAUAAUAAUAACCACCACCGUAAGGUGGUGGCGCCGCCGUGAGCUGCCAUUGACCACCACUACCCGAGGUGGUAGUGGGUGGGGCCCCGCUAGCAAACCCUAAUGGGCCUAGAGAUUAGUUUUGGGCUUAUUGGGCCAUGUUUGGGUGGAAAACCCUAAUUAUGAGUAUUGGGCCUUAGACUUAUUGGGCUCACUUGUGGGCCAUUGGGAUNGAUUGGAUUGGAAUUGAGCCCACACUAUUCCAUGCCAUUUAUCUAGUAGGGUAAAGGAAUUAAUGGAUUAAGUCCUUAAUGGGCUAAGCGAGAAAACCCUAAUUUUGAGAAGUUAUCGGGACACACACACAUACACACAAUAAUUAUUUAAUAAGUGAAAUAUUAAGUAAUAAUCAUUGGCAAAGAUUAAUCUAAGCAAUAUUGGACUUAAUGGAUUAAGUCCUUAAUGGGUUAAGUAGGAAACUUAACCCUAAUCAUCAUUUUAUGUGAAACCCUAAUUUCACUUGGGUUUAUUGUUGGGCCUUUCUAUUGGGCCUUGAUGAUUGGGUUAUUAAAUGGGCUAUCCAAGAUCAAGCAAAUGGUCUAGAGUAAUUUAAUGGGCCUAGGGUAAGGCCCAUGUAAGGGGCUUUGGGCCCAUUUUAAAAGNGAUGGGCCAUAGUUUGAGCCUUAAUGAUUAUAUGAUGUUGAGCCUUAGAAUGAGACCAUGUAUAGGCCUAGGCCCAAUUUAGAAAAUUGGGCCAUGUAUUGGGCUUUGAUUCAUAAUUGACUUUGGGCCUAUGGAUCGGGCCUUGGGCUUGAAUAAGCCAAGCUAGGGGUAAUGUAGUAAUUACCCAAAGAAUGUACUUAUGGUUAUGUAUUGGGACCCAAUUAUUAAUUGGAUGUUAUUUUGGUGUUGACAGUUCGGGAAUCUGUCAGCCAACAGCUGGGGUCUAGUCUGCGGGACUUCAGCAAGUGGGGGAUUGUGUCUUCGGGACUUCAGCAGUGUGAGGUGAGUUACGUUCCAGUAGCGGUGGGUCUAUGGCCAGAAUGCCGGCCCACCAGUAGGAGUUGUAUGUUAGAUGAUUGUCUUUGUGAUAUCAUCUAGGUUUGCUACUACCUAAUAUGUUAUAUGCUAGCAUGAUAUGUUAUACUAGUCGAAUGUCCGCGCGUUGCGCAGAAACAUUUAUAUAGCUGAAAUCUUUACAAAUAUAUGUUUGUUUUAAAUAUAACAAUAAUGUCGUUGUUAAAUUUGGUAUAAUAAUUUGUAUACUAAGUUGAUAUAGUAUAUUGAUUUUUUUGAAUUAUAUGAUAAUAUAUACAUCUAUUAAAACUGAAUAAUCUUAAUCUUUUGAAUGACCUCUACAUGCGGGUUACACAUGAAUAAAAAUUAAUAUAAUAUAUGGUUUAAUAUUAUUUAUAGUUGUUAUUGUUAAUUCAUUUUUAAAAUUUAUUUGCUUAACGUUUUAAUUUCUAUCAGUGUAAUUAUUUAAAACAUCAAAUAAUUUCUUUUAUUUUAAAUGUAACAAUAUAAUCAUUUAUAUAGAGUUAUUUUUAACUAUUGUUAUUGUAAGUUAUUUUAAGCUACUUAUUUCAAAACUUUUAACGAUUAUAAAAAUAUAUUUAGGAAAUAUUUUAGUAAAUUGAUAUUACAAUUUAGUUUUUUGCAUUUACCACUACAAUUUAUCACUUUUCACUAUUCACAAAAUACUCUUUGGGUUUUUUUAAGUGGAACUGAAAUUUAUAUUGAAGUUGACCAUGUAAUGUUAUAUUUAAAUUAACAAUUUAAGUAUUUUAUCCAGACGGUUCAAAAGUUGUAGCUUUAAACUGAUAAUGAUUGAAAUUUAGUUUAUUUUUUAGUACACUUUAGGUUUGAUACUUAUUUAUCCUUAUUAACCAAUUUAAAAUCAUUAUUAGAAAGACACUACAAUUUAUCACAUUUAAGUAUUUACAAAAUAUUCAUUGGGUUGUUUAAGUUGAACUAAAAUUUAUAUUUAAGAUGAUCUUGUAAGGUUAUAUUUAAAUUAACAAUUUAAGUAUUUUAAACAAAUUGAUCAAAAGUUGUAGCUUUAAAAUGAUAAUGGUUUAUAUACAACAUAUUAGACCUAAUAAAUUAAGUAUAAUAUGUUAAAAGUUAAAAACAAACUUUAUAAUUAGAAGAAAAUAUAUUUUUUUUUAAUAUUGAAAUUUAGUUUAUAUAUGAUUACACUUUAGGUUUGAUAUUUAUUAACCUUAUUAACCAACUUAUAAUAAUUAUUAGAAAGAAAUUGAAAAUUCAUGGGAGUUUCAAAUGAAUGUGGUGAAAGAAAAAAAAUACAUGGGUGUUUCAAAUGAAUGUGGUUCAAGAAAAAAUGCAAGCUUUAUAAGUAUAUAAUGUGAUAGUAGUAGAGUUCGGUUGUUAGGACCGAAGGGUAGGUCAGACACCCCAGAUAUGUCUGACAGUAUGUGAUGAUAUGCUUAUAUGCUGGCAUGAUAUGUUAUAUGUGAUAGUGGUAGUAGGAGGGGAAUAGUCCCCAUGUUCGGUUGUUAGGACCGAACGGUAGUUCGGACACCCCAUAUAUGUCUGAUAGUAUGUUUAUGUUAUGAUAUGCGUGAUAGUAGCAGUAGGGGUGGAAUAGUCCCCGAGGGUCGGUUGUUAGGACCGACAGGUAGGUCAGCACCCCAAAAUGGCUUGACAUGGGUAGGUCAGCGCCCC